rnacentral:tRNA from 1 species
GGGACUGUAGCUCAGCGGUAAGAGCAGGCGGCUCAUAACCGCUUGGUCGCUGGUUCGAAUCCAGCCAGUCCCA